UACGGGGGGAGCAAGCGUUGUUCGGAUUUACUGGGCGUAAAGGGCGCGUAGGCGGCCACGACAAGUCACUUGUGAAAUCUCCGGGCUUAACUCGGAACGGUCAAGUGAUACUGUCGGGCUAGAGUGCAGAAGGGGCAACUGGAAUUCUCGGUGUAGCGGUGAAAUGCGUAGAUAUCGAGAGGAACACCUGCGGCGAAGGCGGGUUGCUGGGCUGACCCUGACGCUGAGGCGCGAAAGCCAGGGGAGCGAACGGG
rnacentral:rRNA from 1 species